rnacentral:rRNA from 1 species
CAAUAGCGUAUAUUUAAGUUGUUGCAGUUAAAAAGCUCGUAGUUGGAUUUCGGAUGGGAUCUGCCGGUCCGUCUUCGAGAUGUGUACUGGUAGGUCCUAUCUUGUUGUCGGGGACCAGCUCCUGGGCUUCACUGUCCGGGACUGGGAGCCGACGAAGUUACUUUGAGUAAAUUAGAGUGUUCAAAGCAAGCCUACGCUCUGAAUAUAUUAGCAUGGAAUAACACGAUAGGACUCUGGCUUAUCUUGUUGGUCUGUGAGACCAGAGUAAUGAUUAAGAGGGACAGUCGGGGACAUUCGUAUUUCAUUGUCAGAGGUGAAAUUCUUGGAUUUAUGAAAGACGAACUUCUGCGAAAGCAUUUGUCAAGGAUGUUUUCAUUAA